UAGGGAAUCUUCGGCAAUGGACGAAAGUCUGACCGAGCAACGCCGCGUGAGUGAAGAAGGUUUUCGGAUCGUAAAACUCUGUUGUUAGAGAAGAACAAGGACGUUAGUAACUGAACGUCCCCUGACGGUAUCUAACCAGAAAGCCACGGCUAACUACGUGCCAGCAGCCGCGGUAAUACGUAGGUGGCAAGCGUUGUCCGGAUGUAUUGGGCGUAAAGCGAGCGCAGGCGGUUUCUUAAGUCUGAUGUGAAAGCCCCCGGCUCAACCGGGGAGGGUCAUUGGAAACUGGGAGACUUGAGUGCAGAAGAGGAGAGUGGAAUUCCAGGUGUAGCGGUGAAAUGCGUAGAUAUAUGGAGGAACACCAGUGGCGAAGGCGGCUCUCUGGUCUGUAACUGACGCUGAGGCUCGAAAGCGUGGGGAGCAAACAGG
rnacentral:rRNA from 1 species